rnacentral:rRNA from 1 species
GACGAGGGAUCCUAGCGUUGUUCGGAAUCAUUGGGCGUAAAGAGUAUGUAGGCGGCCUUGUAAGUCAGUUGUGAAAGCCCCGGGCUUAACCCGGGAAGUGCAAUUGAUACUGCUUGGCUUGAAUGUGGAAGAGGGCAGUAGAAUUCCAGGUGUAGUGGUGAAAUACGUAGAUAUCUGGAGGAACACCGGUGGCGAAGGCGGGAUCCUGGGCCAGUACUCGACGCUGAGGAGCGAAAGCGUGGG